rnacentral:lncRNA from 1 species
UUGUCAAGCUUAAGCACAUUCAGAGAGCCGCAAUUCGAAAGCUUCAUUGGGAUUUGCCCUGUGAAGCUGUUAGAUGAGAGAUCAAGGGACGUAAUGAACAUAAUGAUUUCAUCGAUGUCAGUAGGAAGAGGUCCAUUGAGCUGGUUGCUUGAAAGAUCUAACCCUGUUAGGCUUGUGCAAUUUGCUACGCCUUGAGGAAACGAGCCCUUCAGUCCCAAAUCCGAAAGCUUGAGGUUUAAAACUUUACUCUCGUGAGGGUGCCAACACUCGACCCCAAGAAAGUUGCAGAUGAAGCCUUCGGUGUUGUUGUUGAAAUCCCAUGAAGAGUUUAAGUACCCCAAAGUGUCCUCAAGUGAUGCUUUUAUACUUUUCAAGCAGUUGAUAUCACUCUCAACACCAAAGCUGAAACCACAACUAAGCAGCAACCAGAGGACACUGCCAAUGAAAAUGCCAGCAUCUUGUUUUCUCAACAACAUAUGCAUCAAGAAAGCCAUCAAAAUGGGAUAAUGGGCUAAAAGAAAAUAAAAAAAAGUUCUAUUUAGUUCAUGAAGCCAAAGAUCAGAGCUAAAGAUAGUAGUGAAGUGUAACACCCCGACUCCAAAUUAAAUGAUUUUUUUAAUCGAUUUUUAUAAAAUUACGAAAUUACCCUUGGGAUAGGGGUAAAUUGGUCACUUUCUUCUUCGGAAGGAUUUUGGGACCACGAGUGGCAUUUCUGGGUAGUUGGUACCGAGACGAAAUCGUAGACAUGCGGUAGGCUUGAAUCGGGGUUGUAACGAAAAAGUUACGGGAAAAAUAGUGUCAGUGGCAAACUUGUAAAUAUUUCGAAAAGGGUUAGGGUAAAAAUCAGAUUUUUCCAGUUUUACCUCACUUUCUCUCUCUUCCUCCCGAUUCUCUCUCUCCCGCGUCGACCUCUUCUUCCUCCUCCGAUCUGCAAUUCACGCAGAGCCGCCGCCACAGGCCACGGCCAGCCCCGAGACCGGACCCAAAACGACCGGCCAGACCUCGCCGACGUCCCCCGAUCCAUCUCCAGCCGUCAGCCGCCGCCUCGUCGCCGGAAAAUACAGAUUUCAGGCCGAUCCUUGUCUGAGCUUCCAGUCGAUCGUUCUCUCUCCUCCGAGCACUAUUUCAGACGGGUGAGGUAUGGUUUCUCAUCCAAUUUUCGAGUUCUAGCUGAUGAUGGUAUAGGUUUUCAUUGAUUUUGAGUCUAGAAAACCGAUUAGAAAUCUAGGUUUUGGGCCGAAUUUCAAAAUGAAAUUCCGGCCAGUUGCCGGCCGAAUUGGAGCUUCUCGUAGUUGAAUGAAGUGAUCCUGACCUCGAGUAGAAGCUAGGGUAGGAAGGGUGAGCUCGGGUGUGGAGUUUUUCCGUCACCGGAAUUACUCUGCACACCCACGCGCUGCCGGCGCGUGUGGCGGCGCGUGGGCGAGUCUGGUGAGGAUGUAAAUUGACCCGAUGAGAUCCUUAGGUUGUCACGAGCGCAUAGGAAUUCGCAGAUCUCGAUUCGGAUGUCGUUUGGCUAUCGAACGGAUUUUCGCAUAUUAUGCGUUAUCCGGGUUCGAUAGGUUCCGACCGUUAGAUCUUUCCCAAUUUAAAAUGUGUUGUUCUAGGUAUUCCUAGGACCGUAUGGGACUUCACGAAUUCUGAAUCGGAGCCCCGGAUGUUCCGAUUCAAAAAUGCAAAGUUUGCGGGUUAGCGAUAACCGUAAAAUCGUGAACGCUUCCUAAACCUGUAAUCGGACCUUAGGGUACCAUCUUCGACGUGCACGUAUGGGGAUUUGGGGAGUUAAGCAUUUAAUUUGUAAUUUCCGCUUAGACGUGGUUUUUAUAUUAAUUAACGGUUCGUAUUUCGAAAUAGGUAUUUCGACUGCACGCACGCAGCAAGCAGGACCUUCACGUGGUCAGGCAGCGAGGGAAUACUUGUGAGUGGACUUUGUUUUAAUCAUAUGCCUGGUUUUAAUUAAUGAAAGAUUUUGCAUAAUGUUUUAAUGGCUCCUGGAUUUUUAUAUAUUUUAUGCAUGGAUAAAUUCUGUUGGGUGUAUAGCAAUUGGUAAUAUAUUGUGAGAUUGGCAUUUUUGGGUUUUGAGAGUGUAUUUUAUAUAUGGAUUGUGGGGAGGUAUAUUUUGAUAUAUAUUCUUCGUAGAUGAGACAUUUGGGUUGUUGGAGGGUGAUAUGGAAGUAUGUGAUUAGAGAGGAGUUGUGGGAUUACACUACGUAAGUACCUUCCCCAGUUACUAGUCUCACUCGCGGCGUUGGAUGUUCCGGCGGGUGAGACACUUUCCGUAUGCGGCGUUGGAUGUUCCGGCGUACGGAAAGACUGUGUAUAGAGUUUAGGGUCAUCACCAUGGCGUUGGAUGUUCCGGUGUGUGAUGAUCCAGUCUGCGCGCGUAGGAUAUAGUUUGAGAGCUACACAUGGCGUUGGAUGUUCCGGUGUGGGAGCUUUGGAGUUUCGUCCCCCGGUUGGACCGCUCAUCCCUAGACGCAGGAUAGCACCUGGAAAUCCUGCGGACUAGUCAAACGAUCCCCCAGUUGGAUUGUUUUCCCCGGUACCUAGGUGGUGUGAUGAGUAUAUCGUAUAGCUAUUUAUAGUUAUAUAUAUAUAUAUAUAUUUAUAUGUUUAUUUAUUGAAUAUGUAUAGUUGAGUGUGAAAGGAAUUGGAGUUUGUUUAAUAGUUGACAGCAGUGGUGAGUUUGAGAGAAUGGGAUUCUUUUUGAAAGAGAUAACUGAUGUUUUUAGAUGAGUUUUACUGAAGCAUGUUUUGAGUAAUUUCUUAUUGAAUUGUGAACCUGCAUGACUGGAGCAUUAUUUUUACAUGGUGGGGUUACUAUGUUGUUUUUAACUGCAAACCUGGUUUUUGUCCACUCACAUGUUUUCUGUUUUGCGCCCCCCAGCCAGUAGUUGCUCUUGGAAGUGCAAGUGGUGUACGAAGCGGAAUCGGUGCAUCUUUCUAAUUAGGAACUAUGUAAAUUCUUCUACUCAACUGUUCUUGUAAUCUAAAUUCAGUAGAUGCUCUGUAUUGCCAUAGUAGAUUUUACUUGUGAGGCCGGAGGCCACUCUAGUAUGACUUAUGUAUGUAUGAAAGCAUGCUGCUGGUUGGGAUUAGUAUUACUGUGUGUUGCAGGUUGAAUAAAUUUUGUUGGGAUUGCUUAAAUUGCAGGGGGGACUCUGCCAAAUUUUUGGUAGAAAGUCUCGAUUAUUUAAUAGGUGGGUCCGGCAUCGGGAUGAUGUCGGGAUCAAGACGGAGUCCGCCUCGGUCUUCGGGAAAUUCUGGGACGGGUCCUGUCAUGAAGACCUGAAAUUCCCUGGCUUUUUAUAACCACUGGACAUGAAAGAACCCUGAUAAGGGUUUGAACAAUCAACGGCACAAAUUAAUGAAAAGGCUCCCACGCGGUCAGCAUAUGCAUUAAAAAUCAAGAGUGGUCUAUACGUCCAAUGGUAUAUCCUGGCUCUGUUUGAAGGCUAUUUGGAGGCCACUCCUUUCGUCGAAAGCUUAGGGACGACUUGGACUGUUGACCAUUGACUACCCACAGUGUUCGUCUGCCCUCUAUGUCCUUUUCUUUUCUUCUUUGCCGACCUUCAUGAGAUGACUCAGUCUCAUCUUAGAAUUUUACUCGCUCAAACACGGAAAAAAAGAGAGGAUAAAAUACAACUCAAACUACUAAAAAAUCGACAAUUAUAAAUGAAGAAGAAAAAGAAACUCAAUUAAGCAUAAGGGGUGCGCCACCAUAAGAAAUUAAAGGGCGCAGCGCAACUACACAAACUAAUUAAAAGACUCUCACCACGGUCAGCACAUGCAUUAAAAAAGCCUGCCUCCCUUUGGAGGGUUUAUGAAAGUGAGGGAAGGAGGAGGUGAGCCUCAUCUGUUUGGAGGCUACCCCUUUUGUCAAAAGAAUGAUUUCAGAGCUAGAGAUAUAUUACUGAAAUGAACCCAGAAAUCCUGUAGCAUUUUAAUGACAAUAGAGAUUAAAGAACCCAGAGAAGGGGUUAUUUCUAUUUCAAUCGACGACUGCGAUUGGAGGGGAAAAAAAAAAAAUCAAAAUUGCAGAUAUGUCUUGAAAGCUUGAGCGUCUUCUCCCAGCCACUACUUUACAAGAUUUUUUUAGAAUUUUCCUAGAAUGCCUACAACAAUUAUGUCUCGAAAGCUUGAGCUUGCCGACUUUGUCAAAGUUGGUGUACAUCUCUCGAGUUCUCUACAUUUCUCUAGAUUUUUCUAAAUACAAAUGACUCAAAUGAGCAUUAACUUCUAACAAAAACAAAAAAAAUGCAAGCGGAAUUUAUACACGAGGAUUUUCAAGCGUACAAUUAGUGAAUCAGUCAACUCGAAAGAAGGACUAAAUAUAAUUUAAGACAGGUAAAAUGAGUUCAGAAAAGCAGAAAACAAGAGCACAACUGUUACUGGCUAGGCUGAGUUCAACUUGUACAUCUUGCGAACACCACCAAAUAACGCACACUAGGAGCUCUCGGAAGGAAAAAACAAAAAGGAAAAGGAAAACCAAAACCAGCUGCUGCUGCUAUAACUACAUUUUUUUAAGUUCAAAACCUUAAACCGGCGGGCAAUGCUUCAAAGGGCCUCCACAGAGUCCGGUGUUGUUUGCAUAGCUUUCAGGUCCAAUUGAUGUAUUAUUAAAGUUUGGGACUGGGCCAGACAGCUGAUUGUUGGCCACACUAAAUGUUUUAAUCCUAGUAAGCUGGCCAAGCUCUGGAGGAAUGAUACCCGAGAACUUGUUGUUGUCAAGCUUAAGCACAUUCAGAUAGCUGCAAUUGGAAAGCUUCAUUGGGAUUUGCCCUGUGAAGCUGUUAGAUGAGAGAUCAAGGGACGUAAUGAACGUAAUGAUUUUAUCGAUAUCAGUAGGAAGAGGUCCAUUGAGCUGGUUGCUUGAAAGAUCUAACCCUGUUAGGCUUGUGCAAUUUGCUACGCCUUGAGGAAACGAGCCCUUCAGUCCCAAAUCCGAAAGCUUGAUGUUUAAAACUCUACUCUCGUGAGGGUGCCAACACUCGACCCCAAGAAAGUUGCAGAUGAAGCCUUCAGUGUUGUUGUUGAAAUCCCAAGAGUUUAAGUACCCCAAAGUGUCCUCAAGUGAUGCUUUUAUACUUUUCAAGCAGUUGAUAUCACUCUCAACACCAAAGCUGAAACCACAACUAAGCAGCAACCAGAGGACACUGCCAAUAAAAAUGCCAGCAUCUUGUUUUCUCAACAACAUAUGCAUCAAGAAAGCCAUCAAAAUGGGAUAAUGGGCUAAAAGAAAAUAAAAAAAAAGUUCUAUUUAGUUCAUGAAGCCAAAGAUCAGAGCUAAAGAUAGUAGUGAAGACCUGAAAUUCCCUGGCUUUUUAUAACCACUGGACAUGAAAGAACCCUGAUAAGGGUUUGAACAAUCAACGGCACAAAUUAAUGAAAAGGCUCCCACGCGGUCAGCAUAUGCAUUAAAAAUCAAGAGUGGUCCAAUGGUAUAUCCUGGCUCUGUUUGAAGGCCAUUUGGAGGCCGCUCCUUUCGUCGAAAGCUUAGGGACGACUUGGACUGUUGACCAUUGACUACCCACAGUGUUCGUCUGCCCUCUAUUUCCUUUUCUUUUCUUCUUUGCCGACCUUCAUGAGAUGACUCAGUCUCAUCUUAGAAUUUUACUCGCUCAAACAUGGAAAAAAAGAGAGGAUAAAAUACAACUCAAACUACUAAAAAAUCGACAAUUAUAAAUGAAGAAGAAAAAGAAACUCAAUUAAGCAUAAGGGGUGCGCUACCAUAAGAAAUUAAAGGGCGCAGCGCAACUACACAAACUAAUUAAAAGACUCCCACCACGGUCAACACAUGCAUUAAAAAAGCCUGCCUCCCUUUGGAGGGUUUAUGAAAGUGAGGGAAGGAGGAGGUGAGCCUCAUCUGUUUGGAGGCUACCCCUUUUGUCAAAAGCUUGGGUAUAUCUGCUUAUAUUUUCUAUUGAAAAACUUGAUUAUGUAUGGUUAAGUGAUAUUAUAAAGUUGAUGGAACAUUUAAACAAAUAAUUUAAUUAAGAGACCAAAAUGUAAAACAGGUAUAAAUUUAAAGAACAUUUGAAUAAAUAAUAUAUAUAUAUAUAUAUAUACACACACAUUGAGCUAUUGAGCUAUUGGAGUUUAUCUCAAAAUAAAGGGCAAAACCAACACCAAAACCAGCUGCUGCCACAAUAACAACACCAUUCCUGGACCUGAAGAAGUUGACUUGCAAGGCUCCAAUUGAAUCAGCACCAAAGACUAACUGUGGGACCGGCCCAGACAGAAGAUUUGGGCCACACUGAAUAUCUCAAGCCUAGGAAGCAGCCCAAGCAGUGGAGGAAUGUGAUGUGACCAGAAAACUCAUUGUUAUCAAGCUUGAGCAUACUGAGCCACACACAGCUGGAAAGGUCUGGGAUUUUCCUCGAAAUAUAUUUCGACAAAAAGAAGAAAAAAAAUACCUUGUAUGUAUUAAUUAUUCGCAACGGCAAUUUGUUAAGAACUUAAUUAAUUUUUAUGAUGACAUUUAUAAAUAUAUAAACCACCAUUUAAUACACUUCAUCUAUAAACCUCUAGGGGAUUUCAUGACGUCAGAGUUAGAGUACCAAGCUGGUGGAAUUCAUCUUAAAAUAAAAAAAUAAAAAGAGAAAACAAAACCAAUAACAAAACCAGCUGCUGCCACCAUAAUAUUUCCGUCAUUGGACAUGAAAACCCUAACCACACUCUUGGACUUCUUUUGGCAAGACUUGAGCGGGUGGCCACAGAGUCCGGGAUUGUUUGCAUAACUGUCCGCUGUAAUUGAUGUAGUAUUGAAUGAUGGGACUUCGCCAGACAGAGCAUUGUUGGCCACACUAAAAGUUUUAAGCCUAGUUAGCUGGUUAACUUCUGCCGGAAUGUUACCCGAGAACUGGUUGUUAUCAAGCUUGAGCACAUUCAUAUAGCUGCAAUUGGAAAGUGUCGCGGGGAUCAGCCCUGAGAAGCUGUUGGAAGAGAGAUCAAGAGACGUAACAAACAAAAGAACUUCAUCGAUAUCAUUAGGAAGAUGUCCACUGAGCAUGUUGCUUGAAAGAUCUAAACCUGUUAAGCUUGUACAAUUUUCUACGCCCCGAGGGAACUGACCUUUUAGUCCCAAGUCCGAAAGCUUGAUGUUCAGAACCUUGCUCUCUUGAGGGUGCCAACACUCGAUUCCAAGAAAGUUGCAGAUGAAGCCAUCAGUGUUGUUGCUGAAAUCCCAUGAAGAGUUUAUGUACCCCAAAGUGUCCUCAAGUGAUGCUUUUAUACUUUUCAAGCAGUUGAUGUCGCUCUCAACACCAAAGCUGAAGCUACAAUUACUAAGCAGCAACAACAAGAGGACACUGCCAAUAUAAAUGUCUAGAUGUUGUUUGCUCAGCAGCACAUGCCCUAACAAAGCCAUCAAAUAAAAUGGCUUUAAAAAGUUGUUACCCUAUUCAAGCAAAAAUGAUUUCAGAGCUAGAGAUAUAUUACUGAAAUGAACCAGAAAUUCUCUAGCAUUUUAAUGACACUAGAGAUCAAAGAACCCAGAGAAGGGGUUCAAUUUCAACACUGCGACUGGAAGAAAAAAAAAAAGGUUCAACGAGAAAAGGGCCCUCUUUAGUCUUUCCACAGAGAGAGAUGUAAGACUUUGACAUUCAACAUGUAAAUGACAUGCAAUUACGCAAGAGUGAAUUAUACGUUUAAAAAAAUUUCCUGUCUUUUUUUUUCUCUUUCGGUAAACAAAUUCGAUUGGUUUGAUGAAAGUGAGAGAAGGAGAAGCUCAUUAAUGGGGUCAUUUGAAGGAGAGAAGCAGGUGCUAAUCCCACCUAAUCACGAUAUACGAUAUAUGAUAAUUUUUCCACUACUGUAAUUGAGUGAGAUAGCAAAACAAUAAUAUCCUCGUUUAUCACUAAAUUUAACAAUAGCAACAUCAUUCUCGGACUUGAAGAUGACUUGCACGGCUCCAGUGGGCCCCCACAGAGUCCGAAAUUGAUCACAUAACUCUGCGCUCCAAAGGGACCGGCCCAGACAGAAGAUUGUGGGCCACACUGAGUUUCUUAAGCUUAGGAAGCAGCCCAAGUUAAAUGCAUUGUCAUCAAGCUUGAGCAGAUUGAGCCACACAGAGUUGGGACGGUCUGGGAUUUUGGCCCGAGAAGGUGUUGUUUGAGAAGUCAAGAUUUGCGAUGUACGGAAUGGUGUGACAGAUGUCGGCAGGAAGAGGUCCCUGGAGAUGUUUGCUCGAAAGAUGCGUGACGCAUGUGCAGUUUGCUAAGCACUGAGAAAUAAAAACAAGGCUUAAUUACACUUGUAUAUUAAUGUGAUUAAAUUUAAAAAUAAUUGGUUCUUAUUCACUAUUUCUGAUUAUUUCUUUGUAGAGUAAUUAUGCAACGGAAGUUUAAUUAAAAUAGUAAAUUUGAUUUACACCUUUCAAAUUCAACUUACUUUACCUGCAAUCCUUUACUUUUUGUUCCUAUAAAUAAUACCCAAUUUUUAUAAGUAAAAACCCAUGACUAUGAUCCAACUCAUUAUGUUACCUUAUUAAGCUCAAUUUCUGAUUUAUUAUAAUUUUUUGAUUGCCAAAAUACCCCUAUUUAUAUUUCAACGUGUAAUGGGGUGGUGUUUUAAUUUUUAGUUCUCCAAUUUAUUGUGGUGAUUCCCUCUAAAAAUUUUGUCUGCAAUUAAUUAUCCGCUUUAUUAUUAAAAUUCAUCAAUACAGUCAACAAUGUGUUGACCAAAAAAGGCAGUUUUCCUUAUUGCCUUUUUGAAAUUUUGUUCCAUCUUUCCCCGAUAAUAAUCUACUUAUUUUAGAACUUGAAUUUCAUUUAUUGUACCUAGUUUUUUGGUGGAUAAUAAUCUACCUAUUUUUUUAUAUUAUAAAUUAUUGUGUAUCUAUAUUUUCUAUAAAUUAUUGUGUAUCUAUAUUUCCUAUAAAUUAUUGUGUACCUAUUUUCCUGUAAAAAUCUACCUAUUAUUUUUUAUAGAUUAUUAUGUAUCUAUAUUUUCUAUAAAUUAUUGUGUACCUAUUUUUCUGUAAAAAAAAAAUUUAGUAGAAAAUAGACCUAUAUUUUUAUACCUAUAUAUUUUUCAUAGGUACAUUAUUGGACAGUCCUGAUCUCUUGGACCACAGGAGUCCAAGAUAUUGUGGUCACCCACCGUUGGAUAUUAAUCUAAUGGUUCAAAAAAGUUUCUUAAAAGGAAUUCAAGAUUGAGUGAACCGUUGAAUUUAAAUCCAACGGUGAGUGACCACAAAUUUCUUGGACUCCUGUGGUCCAAGAGAUCGGGACUGCAUUAUUGGAUAUGUAAUUUACAGAUUUUUUAUUUUUUAUUUUUUAUUUUUUUUUGUUUGCAAUUUUAGGGCCUAUAUGUUAAGGCAGUUAAUGAAAUGCUUGAAAUAAAUUAAAAAUAAAAUAUAAAGUCUGGUGGCAACGAUGUAAAAACAUAAGAAUACUAUGACCUCUUAUAUCCUACUGAUCAUUUAAAUUUGAAAUUGGGUUUUACACAUAAAUUUAUAGAGUGAUGGGUAUAUGUCUAGGAAAUAGAAAAUAUGGGGACCUAUAUUGGACAAGCCCUAAUUAAAAUGACUAAUGAUUCUGUUAUCUAAACAUAGAAUAUUUCAGUUUUGUUGUUGAUUUUAUACUUACAUUGGUGUGUGUUUUAGACUAAAAAUAAUGCUAAUUCAUCCAACUUUGUAUGUAUUAUUUGCAACGACAAUCCCGCGGGUGUCUUAUUUAACUGUGUUCGAGUACAUGACCAAAUAAGGCACACACGAGGCUGUUGGAGCUCAUCUUAAAAGAAAAAAAAAGAAAAAGAGAAAACGAAACCAAUACCAAAACCAGCUGCUGUCACCAUAGUUACACCAUUCGACUUGAACACCCUAACCACAUUCAAGGACUUCUUUUGAGAUAUUGAUGGGCAAGGCUUGAGGGGGUAUCCACAAAGUCCAGGAUUGUUGGCAUAACUGUCCCUUCUAAUUGAAGCAAUAUUCUCACCGAAUGGUGGCACUUGGCCCGACAGAAGAUUGUUGGCCACACUAAAAGUUUUAAGCCUAGUUAGCUGGUUAACUUCUGCCGGAAUGUUACCCGAGAACUGGUUGUUAUCAAGCUUGAGCACAUUCAUAUAGCUGCAAUUGGAAAGUGUCGCGGGGAUCAGCCCUGAGAAGCUGUUGGAAGAGAGAUCAAGAGACGUAACCCACGUAAGAAUUUUAUCGAUAUCAUGAGGAAGAGGUCCACUGAGCAUGUUGCCUGAAAGAUCUAAACCUGUUAAGCUUGUACAAUUUUCUACGCCCCGAGGGAACUGACCUUUUAGUCCCAACUCCGAAAGCUUGAUGUUCAGAACCUUGCUCUCGUGAGGGUGCCAACACUCGAUCCCGAGAAAGUUGCAGAUGAAGCCUUCAGUGUUGUUGUUGAAAUCCCAUGAAGAGUUUAAGUAACCUAAAGUGUCCUCAAGUGAUGCUUUUAUACUUUUCAAGCAGUUGAUAUCGCUCUCAACGCCAAAGCUGAAGCUACAACUAAGCAGCAACAACCAGAGGACACUGCUAACAAACAUGUCUAGAUUUCGUUUGCUCAACAACACAGGUAUCAAGAAAGCCAUCAAAAUAGCCUUAAAAGUUGGUACCUAUUUAAGCAAUGAUGAAUAUCAUAAUGCAAUUGGAAAAAAGGUAAAAGUGCAAUGAGAAAACGACCCUCUUUAGUCUUUCGACAGAGAGAUGAAAGACUUUGAGUCAACACGUAAAUGAAAUGCAAUUAUGCAGAAGUUUCCAGUCGUUUUCUUCUUUAGUAAACCGAAUCUGAUUGGUUUGAUGAAGGCGAGCGAAGGAGAAGCUCAUUAUGGGUUAUUUGAAGCUCAGGGACGACUUGGGGGGUGGGUUGCUUGCUAUACUCUUCAGAGUGCUUGACUGCCCUCUAUCCUUUUUAUUUUAUUUUUAUCUUUGAGUCGUUUUCAGAAGUGGCCAUGAGCAGCACACUGUAACAACACUUGGGCAAUGCUUUUGCUCUCUUUUCAACUUUUAUUCACUUUUUCUAAUCAAGUUAGGUUUGUUUCAAAAAUAGCUGAAAAGGCAAAGGGUUUUCUCUGAAAAAUGGUGCUGAGUUGACCUAGCAGAACAAGAGUUUGAACAGAGACGAUAGAUUCUAUGGUGUCGUCGAUUGCAGAGAAGCAGAUAAUGGGAGGCAGCGAGGAUGACAAAAGAUAUGACAGGAAAAAAAAAACAGAGAGAGAGAGAGUGAAGAAUUGAAUUCGUUGAAGCAUUAGAAUUUAAGCAUGCACUACAACAAUUGCAAUUUAUCCAUUUCCAGGAGCCGGUGGCAUUCUUUAUUUUAUUUGCAGUUCCUCGAGCAAGUUUUAUAAUCAUAAUACAAUUGUCUUGCCUAUGGUCAAAUAAGAAAUCAAGGGCCAUAAUAUACAGCACACAUGCCCUACAUGCUAUGUCUGUAGAUUUUAAUUGCAGAUACUAAAAUCUUGGUGUUGCAGUGCUACCAAGUACUUCAGUGUUUUUGCAUAGGAAAUAAUACAUCUAUUAAACCAAUACCAAAUCAACUACAAAGAAACUGAGGGCAUUUUACAAACUGAGUACCUUGUAAAUCUAAAAAAAGUUGCUCUUAUGAAGAACAUUAAACAAGUUGGGCUAUAUGCGACUUAAAAUACACAUUCAAAGAUUAUAGAGGGCAAUUUUACAACUGUAUGUCGUAAAAAAGCAGAUCCAAUCAGUAGCUAAAGCAUAAAUCAUAUAUGUAAUAAUAAUGUUUAUUACAGUACACAAAAACAGAUAAUUACAAAAGGGUACUGGCCAUAUAUUAAUAUACUCUUCUUACCUUUUUCAGUUCAUCUCCUUCAUCUCUCGAGCAACAAUAAGUUCCCCUCUGCCGUCACCAUCACCGAUGUCUGUAGGCAUCAUUAUCUCAUCGUCGACUGUAAAGUUAUAUUUCUCCCCAAUGGCCCUUAGAAGCUGGUAUACUUCAAACAUAGUAGGCCUCUCCUUGGGAGUAAGCACCACACAAUUACAUGCAACUUUAAGAAACUGGAAAAGCUCCUCAUUCACACCCUUCCCAACCAAAGAUUUGUCGAGCGCAUCCUGGAGUUGAGAUUGGCUUGACAGCUGCAUAAUCCAUUCCACCAAAUUUCCUUUGAAGUCUUCAGGAGCUUUAGCAAUAUGGGUAGCUCUCUCACCAGUCACCAACUCAAGAAGAACAGUUCCAAAGCUGUAAACAUCCCCCUUUGGAGUGGCAAGUAGAGUUCGUGCAUACUCAGGAGCAACAUAACCCAGAUCCCCGAACUCCCCAUUCACAAAAGUACUCAAAUGCGUAUCAAUUGGAUUCAUGAGCCUAGCUAGGCCAAAUUCAGAUAUUUUCGGCUCAAAAUCUGCAUCCAGUAAGAUGCAUUUGGAGCUUAUGUUUCGGUGGAUAAUUCGAGGAUUGCAGUUAUGGUGGAGCCACGCUAAUCCUCUGGCUGCCCCUAUCCCAAUUUUAAGCCUAGUUGGCCACUCCAUAAUCUUCGCACCAUCAGCAUCCAUAGGAUGUAGCUGAUCGUGGAGGGUACCAUUAGGCAUGUACUUAUACACUAAAAGCCUUUCCCUCUUCGCCACGCAAAAUCCUAAAAGAGGAACCAAGUUACGGUGUUCUAUAUUCCCCAAAGUAGCCAUCUCAGACAGAAACUCUUUCUCAGAGUGUUGAGAUUCCUGCAACCUCUUGACCAUAAGUGGGGUGCCAUCGUCGAGCACUGCCUUGUACAUAGUUCCGGUUCUUCCUGACCCAAUGAUAUUGUCUUUGUGGAAAUUGUUGCUGGCCUUCAUGAGAUCACCCAGUUUCAUUUUAGAAAUUGACUUCCCAAACAUGGAAACCUGAAGUAAACUAGCUUCAUUACAAUACAAUACAGCUCAAACUACUAAAAAUAGAAACAUAACUUUCUGCAUAAUCAAAAUGAACAAAGUAUAGCAAGAAAGAAAGAGAGAGAGAACUAAUCAGAUUAUCAUUGUAUGUAAAUCAUUAAUUUGUUUCUAAAAGAAAUGUUCUGUAUUAGCUUGCCUUGAUGCCUUUAGUUUUCUUGAAACUCUUUGCCCAUUUGUUCCCUUCCGGGUCCUCUUCCUUCUUCCUUGCAGACACUCUACGCAUAAAGAAGAACAAGCCAAUAACAACAAUUAAUGCUGCAAAAGUUGCACCACCAACACCAGCUCCCACAAUAACUACACUGUUAGACUUCUUUGCAGCUGACCGGCACACCUCCAGAGGCUUCCCACAAAGUCCAGGAUUGUUUGCAUAAGAGUCCGCUGUAAUUGAUGUACCAUUAUUAAAGUUUGGGACUUGGCCAGACAGCUGAUUGUUGGCCACACUAAAUGUUUUAAUCCUACUAAGCUGGCCAAGUUCUGGAGGAAUGCUACCCGAGAACUUGUUGUUGUCAAGCUUAAGCACAUUCAGAUAGCUGCAAUUGGAAAGCUUCAUUGGGAUUUGCCCUGUGAAGCUGUUAGAUGAGAGAUCAAGGGACGUAAUGAACGUAAUGAUUUGAUCGAUAUUAGUAGGAAGAAGUCCAUUGAGCUGGUUGCUUGAAAGAUCUAACCCUGUUAGGCUUGUGCAAUUUGCUACGCCUCGAGGAAACGAGCCCUUCAGUCCCAAAUCUGAAAGCUUGAUGUUUAAAACUUUGCUCUCGUGAGGGUGCCAACACUCGA